rnacentral:rRNA from 1 species
AGUAACCUGCCCCUGACUCUGGGAUAAGCGUUGGAAACGACGUCUAAUACUGGAUAUGAUCACUGGUCGCAUGGCCUGGUGGUGGAAAGAUUUUUUGGUUGGGGAUGGACUCGCGGCCUAUCAGCUUGUUGGUGAGGUAAUGGCUCACCAAGGCGACGACGGGUAGCCGGCCUGAGAGGGUGACCGGCCACACUGGGACUGAGACACGGCCCAGACUCCUACGGGAGGCAGCAGUGGGGAAUAUUGCACAAUGGGCGAAAGCCUGAUGCAGCAACGCCGCGUGAGGGAUGACGGCCUUCGGGUUGUAAACCUCUUUUAGUAGGGAAGAAGCGAAAGUGACGGUACCUGCAGAAAAAGCACCGGCUAACUACGUGCCAGCAGCCGCGGUAAUACGUAGGGUGCAAGCGUUGUCCGGAAUUAUUGGGCGUAAAGAGCUCGUAGGCGGUUUGUCGCGUCUGCUGUGAAAUCCCGAGGCUCAACCUCGGGCUUGCAGUGGGUACGGGCAGACUAGAGUGCGGUAGGGGAGAUUGGAAUUCCUGGUGUAGCGGUGGAAUGCGCAGAUAUCAGGAGGAACACCGAUGGCGAAGGCAGAUCUCUGGGCCGUAACUGACGCUGAGGAGCGAAAGCAUGGGGAGCGAACAGGAUUAGAUACCCUGGUAGUCCAUGCCGUAAACGUUGGGCGCUAGAUGUAGGGACCUUUCCACGGUUUCUGUGUCGUAGCUAACGCAUUAAGCGCCCCGCCUGGGGAGU